rnacentral:rRNA from 1 species
CCCUUAGAUGUUCUGGGCCGCACGCGCGCUACACUGAUGCAUUCAACGAGUCUAAAACCUGGUCUGAUAGGGCUGGGUAAUCUUUUGAAAGUGCAUCGUGAUUGGGAUAGAUGAUUGCAAUUCUUCAUCUUCAACGAGGAAUGCCUAGUAAACGCAAGUCAUCAGCUUGCAUUGAUUACGUCCCUGCCCUUUGUACACACCGCCCGCCGCUCCUACCGAUUGAAUGAUCCGAUGAAUACCAUGGAUUGAGAGUACGAAUGGGUUCGCUCAUUUCUGCUGCUCGAGAAGUGGAGUAAAUCUUAUCAUUUAGAGGAAGGAGAAGUCGUAACA